rnacentral:rRNA from 1 species
UAAGCAAGAUAUGAAAUCGUACGGCUCAACCGUAUACACGUAUUUUGAACUGAUUAACUAGAGGAUGAGAGAGGUUAUUGGAAUUUCUUGUGUAGGAGUGAAAUCCGUAGAUAUAAGAAGGAACACCGAUGGCGUAGGCAGAUAACUGGCUCAUUCCUGACACUGAGGCACGAAAAGCGUGGGGAGCAAACGGGAUUAGAUACCCCGGUAGUCCACGCCCUAAACGAUGAGAACUA